rnacentral:rRNA from 1 species
GACUAACGUUGGCGGCAUGCAUCAUACAUGCAAGUCGAGCGAUCGGCUUUCGGUAGCUUGCUACUGGAAGUACGGAGCGGCGCACGGGUGAGUAACGCGUAGGUAACCUACCCCACGGUUCGGGAUAGCCGGUCGAAAGAUCGAUUAAUACCGGAUGUGACGUAGAGGCGGCAUCGUCUUUACGGGAAAGGCCCUUUCGGGGGUCGCCGAGGGAGGGGCUUGCGUACUAUUAGCUAGUUGGUGAGGUAAUGGCUCACCAAGGCUUUGAUGGUUAGCCGGCUUGAGAGAGUGAACGGCCACACUGGAACUGAGACACGGUCCAGACUCCUACGGGAGGCAGCAGUAGGGAAUUUUCCGCAAUGGGCGCAAGCCUGACGGAGCAAUGCCGCGUGAGGGAUGAAGGCCCUCGGGUCGUAAACCUCUGUCAUUGGGGGAGAAGGCGCGCCGGAGGUAAUGCCGGUGUGAUUGACGGUACCCAAGGAGGAAGUCACGGCUAAUUACGUGCCAGCAGCCGCGGUAAUACGUAAGUGGCAAACGUUGUCCGGAAUCACUGGGCGUAAAGAGCACGUAGGCGGCCAGGUAAGUCGGAGGUGAAAUCCAGGGGCUCAACCCCUGAACUGCCUCGGAAACUGCUUGGCUCGAGGUCCGAGGGGAAUGUGGAAUUCCGGGUGUAGCGGUGAAAUGCGCAGAUAUCCGGGAGAACACCGAUGGCGAAGGCAGCAUUCUGGCCGGAUCCUGACGCUGAGGUGCGAAAGCCAGGGUAGCGAACGGGAUUAGAUACCCCGGUAGUCCUGGCCCUAAACGAUGAAUACUAGGUAUUGGGCCUUAGGUUCAGUGCCGACGCUAACGCAUUAAGUAUUCCGCCUGGGGUCUACGGCCGCAAGGUUGAAACUCAAAGGAAUUGACGGGGGCCCGCACAAGCGGUGGAGCAUGUGGUUUAAUUCGAUUCAACGCGGAAAACCUUACCUGGGCUUGACAUCCCCUGCUACUCUAUGAAAAUAGACGUUCCGAGCGAUCGGACAGGGUGACAGGUGGUGCAUGGCUGUCGUCAGCUCGUGUCGUGAGAUGUUGGGUUAAGUCCCGCAACGAGCGCAACCCUCGUGUUUAGUUACUAACAGUUCGGCUGAGGACUCUAGACAGACUGCCCGUUUUACGCGGGAGGAAGGUGGGGACGACGUCAAGUCAUCAUGCCCCUUACGUCCAGGGCUACACACGUGCUACAAUGGCGUGUACAAAGGGCAGCGAAGCCGUGAGGCCAAGCCAACCCCAUAAAGCACGCCCCAGUUCGGAUCGGAGACUGCAACUCGUCUCCGUGAAGGUGGAAUCGCUAGUAAUCGUGAAUCAGCAUGUCACGGUGAAUACGUUCCCGGGCCUUGUACACACCGCCCGUCACACCACCCGAGUCGGGUGCUCCCGAAGUCGCAUACCCAACCUCGUGAGGGAUGUGCCGAAGGAGUGCUUGGUAAGGGGGGUGAAGUCGUAACAAGGUA